rnacentral:rRNA from 1 species
CCUACGGGUGGCAGCAGUGGGGGAUAUUGCACAAUGGGGGAAACCCUGAUGCAGCGACGCCGCGUGUGGGAAGACGGUCUUCUGGAUUGUAAACCACUGUCCCCAGGGACGAAAAUGACGGUACCUGGGGAGGAAGCUCCGGCUAACUACGUGCCAGCAGCCGCGGUAAUACGUAGGGAGCAAGCGUUAUCCGGAAUUACUGGGUGUAAAGGGAGCGUAGGCGGGGAUGCAAGUUGGGUGUCAAAACUACCGGCUCAACCGAUAGUUGCACUCAAAACUGCAGCUCUUGAGUGAAGUAGAGGCAGGCGGAAUUCCUAGUGUAGCGGUGAAAUGCGUAGAUAUUAGGAGGAACACCAGUGGCGAAGGCGGCCUGCUGGGCUUUUACUGACGCUGAGGCUCGAAAGUGUGGGGAGCAAACAGGAUUAGAUACCCGUGUAGUC